CUCUAGCCCUAAUCAAUAGUUUGAAUUUACUUGGUUAACUGCAGCUGCAAUCAUAUGCUGAUUUCACUUUCACUGACGUAAAAUGAAAGUGGCUGCAUCAGAAUCAAUUGAGUUAUAUUAGCGUGAAGCACUUUUAGAAGAUGUUGGAAUUGGGCCCAAAAAGAGUUUUCUUGCUGCUAACCUGGAAGCUGAUGAUAGAUCAGGAUUGUAGUCGAGGAAUCGAGUCUCAUAAGCUAUUGCUUUAACCACUGAUCCACAGCAGAACUCUCUGGGCCUGUUUCCUUUAUGCAUCUGUACGAUCAAGUCUUGCCUGGGACCUACUGCCUGGAGCUGAGAGACCUCGACCUUCAGGACCCUGGUAAUAGUAUAUGGAUUGUGUUGGAGAUAAAAGAUUGUACAAAUAUUGGAUGAAAUAUCUCCCUAGCAAACAGUCCUGUUGGUAAGCAGUUUGUAUAUGUUUUCUUCUCUUUUGCAAUAUAUAAUGGUGAGCUAUGCAAAGGCAAGUUUAUAUCAUGUUCAAAUAGACAUUUACUAAAUACAAAAAAUAUUUAAAAUGUCUACAGUUGUCUCUCCCCUUCUGAAAUAACUUCAGAACCACCAGAUUAACUUUCCACUCUUGAGAGAAAAGUUUUCAGUUUGUGUUUUGUGUAACUGUAUAUUACAAAGUUUU
rnacentral:lncRNA from 1 species